UAGUAAGCCUCCAGUGUUCCUGGGUCUACAGCCACCCUGUGCACUCCUAUAAUGCUUACCAGAGAAGCUCUUGAGAUAGUUUGCAGCUUUGUUCUGCUCUCUCCAGAACAAGGUUUCAGAAAUUUCAGACAAUU
ensembl:snoRNA